rnacentral:rRNA from 1 species
UACGUAGGUCGCAAGCGUUGUCCGGAUUUACUGGGCGUAAAGAGCGCGCAGGCGGCUGGUCAAGUCGGAUGUGAAAUCCCCAGGCUUAACCUGGGAACUGCAUCCGAUACUGGAUGGCUUGAAUUCGGGAGAGGGAUGCAGAAUUCCAGGUGUAGCGGUGAAAUGCGUAGAUAUCUGGAGGAAUACCGGUGGCGAAGGCGGCAUCCUGGACCGACAUUGACGCUGAGGAGCGAAAGCUAGGGGAGCAAACGGG